GUCUCCUCACACAGGGCUGAGUCUCUGGGGAAGCAGAGCUGUGACCUAGAAGAUGAGGCUGCUGGGUCUCCUCCUGUGCCUGCUGACGGCCCCGCAGGGUGUCCUGUGCCAAUGGAAGCUGCAAGAGUCAGGCCCAGGACUGGUGAAGCCCUCACAGACCCUCUCCCUCACCUGCACUGCGUCUGGUGGCUCAGUCACCAGCAGUUACUACUGGCACUGGAUCCGCCAGCCUCCAGGGAAGGCACUGGAGUGGAUGGGGUACUGGACAGGAAGCACAAGAUACAACCCAGCGUUCCAGGGCCGCAUCUCCAUCACUGCUGACACGUCCAGGAACCAGUUCUCCCUGCAGCUGAGCUCCGUGACCCCUGGGGACACAGCUGUGUAUUACUGUGCAGGAAACACAGUGAGGGGAAGUCAGCAGGAGCUCAGACACAAACCUGCUUUAGGGAUCCACUGGAGGGCUGUGCUGCAGGGGACACUCAGGACACUAGGGGGCGCUCAGGAUCCAGAUGUCAUAGCAUCAGAAGCAGGAGCAGGCGCAGGUGGAGGCUGA